UAUUGUGACUCAGUCUCUGCUGACAUCAGGGCCGGCAGCUGUGUGUUACUCAGGAGCAUCCCUCCCAGCUGUGCCUCAGUGCCCAUCCUGCUCCUUUGGCACAGGGGAACUGCUGUAAACAUUCCAGGAAUUACGUUCUCCUGGCAUUAACACAAGGUGAUCUGCCUAACAGUACUUCUGAAGGAUUAACAACAAUAGAAGAAAGAGCGUGUGCCUCCAGACUACAAUGUCUGGCAGUGGGGAUACACCACGCUCUCAGCUCUCUCCAUCUGCCAUACAUUCAACACAAGCCACAUCAGAGCAACCAUCUGAGAUCCACUCAUUAGCCCAGCAUCUGCCAUCCUGCCUCCAACUGAAGUUGUGCUGAACAACAGCCACGCUGAAAAUGCAGCUUCAGAGUCGUGGUAAUCGAUGUGCAGGGACAGAGAAAGCACUGAGGCUCCUACACAAGCUGGAACACGUAACUUCUCACCAUAUCCUCUUUUUGCAACUGAAAGCUGGGCUGUGUGCCAUGUGUGGAUGGACCACACACCGUCUAAGGCCCCUGAUCGGACAGCAGAGAGAAGCUGUUACCUCUGAUGGCAGACCCUCCCACUUGCACAGGGUGAAGUGAUUUGCCCUGCACUGGAAGAUGGAGUGGCUUAGAAUUAAACACAAGAGAGAAAGACUGAUAUAAAGCUUUAGGAAAGGAGCCAAAUAGA